GACAGAGGGUGCAAACGUUGUUCGGAAUUACUGGGCGUAAAGCACGUGUAGGCGGUCGAACAAGUCGGGUGUGAAAGCCCAGGGCUCAACCCUGGAAGUGCACUCGAAACUAGGCGACUAGAGUCUCGGAGAGGAAAGCGGAAUUCUGGGUGUAGAGGUGAAAUUCGUAGAUAUCCAGAGGAACACCGGUGGCGAAGGCGGCUUUCUGGACGAGUACUGACGCUGAGACGCGAAAGCGUGGGGAGCAAACAGG
rnacentral:rRNA from 1 species